rnacentral:rRNA from 1 species
UGCCAGCCGCCGCGGUAAUACGAAGGGUGCAAGCGUUGUUCGGAAUUACUGGGCGUAAAGCGCGCGUAGGCGGUUCGGUAAGUCGGAUGUGAAAUCCCGGGGCUCAACCCCGGAACUGCAUUCGAAACUGCCGGGCUAGAGUCUCGGAGAGGAAAGCAGAAUUCCCAGUGUAGGGGUGAAAUCCGUAGAUAUUGGGAGGAAUACCAGUAGCGAAGGCGGCUUUCUGGACGAUGACUGACGCUGAGACGCGAAAGCGUGGGGAGCAAACAGGAUUAGAUA